CAGUAGCCGCGGUAAUACGAAGGGUGCAAGCGUUACUCGGAAUUACUGGGCGUAAAGCGUGCGUAGGUGGUGGUUUAAGUCCGUUGUGAAAGCCCUGGGCUCAACCUGGGAAUUGCAGUGGAUACUGGGUCACUAGAGUGUGGUAGAGGAUGGUGGAAUUUCCGGUGUAGCAGUGAAAUGCGUAGAGAUCGGAAGGAACAUCUGUGGCGAAGGCGACUAUCUGGGCCAACACUGACACUGAGGCGCGAAAGCGUGGGGAGCAAACAGGAUUAGAUACCCCCGUAGUCCCUGUCUCUUAUAC
rnacentral:rRNA from 1 species